GCUAGUAUAGUUUAACUAAAACAUUAGAUUGUGAUUCUAAAAAUAGAGGUUAGACCCCCCUUAUUCGCC
rnacentral:tRNA from 1 species